rnacentral:rRNA from 1 species
CCCACCAAGGCGACGAUGUCUAGGGGUUCUGAGAGGAAGGUCCCCCACACUGGUACUGAGACACGGACCAGACUCCUACGGGAGGCAGCAGUGAGGAAUAUUGGUCAAUGGGCGAGAGCCUGAACCAGCCAAGUCGCGUGAAGGAUGACGGCCCUACGGGUUGUAAACUUCUUUUGUCAGGGAGCAAUUGGGUCCACGUGUGGGCUUAGCGAGAGUACCUGAAGAAAAAGCAUCGGCUAACUCCGUGCCAGCAGCCGCGGUAAUACGGAGGAUGCGAGCGUUAUCCGGAUUUAUUGGGUUUAAAGGGUGCGUAGGCGGAAUAUCAAGUCAGCGGUAAAAAUUCGGGGCUCAACCCCGUCGUGCCGUUGAAACUGAUGUUCUUGAGUGGGCGAGAAGUAUGCGGAAUGCGUGGUGUAGCGGUGAAAUGCAUAGAUAUCACGCAGAACUCCGAUUGCGAAGGCAGCAUACCGGCGCCCAACUGACGCUGAAGCACGAAAGCGUGGGUAUCGAACAGGAUUAGAUACCCUGGUAGUCCACGCAGUAA